rnacentral:rRNA from 1 species
GCUCAACAUCGGGACUGCCGCGGAAACUGGAUCGCUAGAGUGCGGAAGAGGUCAGCGGAAUUGCCGGUGUAACGGUAAAAUGUGUUAAUAUCGGCAAGAACACCAGAGGCGAAAGCGGCUGACUGGGACGCAACUGACGUUGUGGCACGAAAGCGUGGGGAGCGAAUGGGAUUAGAUACCCCAGUAGUCCACGCCGUAAACGAUGGAUAUUAGUCAUUGGCAGUAUCGACCCUGUCAGUGGCGGUUAAAAUAGCUAACGCAUUAAAUAUCCCGCCUGGGAAGUACGGCCGCAAGGCUAAAACUCAAAGGAAUUGACGGGGGCCCCGCACAAGCGGUGGAGCAUGUGGUUUAAUUCGACGGUAAGCGAAAAACCUUACCAAGGCUUGAAAUGCAGCUGCAAAUCCGGGGAAACUCGGACUUCUUCGAGAGUGCUGCACAGGUGCUGCAUGGUUGUCGUCAGCUCGUGUCGUGAGAUGUCGGGUUAAGUCCUUUAACGAGCGCAACCCUCAUCUUGUGUUAAAUAUUCACAAGAAACUGCCCAGCUUAACUGGGAGGAAGGUGAGGAUGACGUCAAAUCAGCAUGGCUCUUACGCCUUGGGCAACACACGUGCUACAAUGGCCGGUACAGAGGGCUGCUAAGUCGCAAGACGGAGCUAAUCCCAAAAAGCCGGUCUCAGUUCGGAUUGAGGUCUGAAAUUCGACCUCAUGAAGCCGGAAUCGCUAGUAACCGUGAAUCAGCAUGUCACGGUGAAUACGUUCUCGGGCCUUGUACACACCGCCCGUCACACCAAGGGAGUUGGUAUACCCGAAGGCUG